rnacentral:ncRNA from 1 species
AGUAACUGAGGACGGAACGGGCAGCCGUCACCCCUUGCAAAAAGGUUAGGAGAUGUGGGAAAUGUCACCCCACCUUUACU